UACGGAGGGUGCGAGCGUUGUCCGGAAUUAUUGGGCGUAAAGAGCUCGUAGGCGGUUUGUCGCGUCGACUGUGAAAACCUACAGCUUAACUGUGGGCUUGCAGUCGAUACGGGCAGACUUGAGUUCGGUAGGGGAGACUGGAAUUCCUGGUGUAGCGGUGAAAUGCGCAGAUAUCAGGAGGAACACCGGUGGCGAAGGCGGGUCUCUGGGACGGUACUGACGCUGAGACGCGAAAGCGUGGGGAGCGAACAGG
rnacentral:rRNA from 1 species